UUCAGUUUAUCUUUGUCGAUGUAUAUGAAUUUGUAUUUUAAUGUUAAUAUUAAUUGUAUUUGGUGAGUGUUUUAAAUUUUUAAACAAGUUCUAUUGGCAUAAAUGUAAAAUGGUGAUGCUCGGUGAGUCUAGGACCCAGAAUUAUGGGUAAAGACUAAAGAGUCCUCCCCGUCUCCCUUGAUGUAUUUCUGUUAUACCAUCUUCUUUUAAAAUAUGAG
rnacentral:lncRNA from 1 species